rnacentral:lncRNA from 1 species
AAUGGCAAUGCCGAGAGCCUAGGUACAAUACGAAAACACGAUGCGUUUCUCCCACGGCGGUUGAGGGACUGUGGAUGAGUUUAUUUUUUCUAAAAGGUAGUUAAACAGAAGGGUAUCGAAGGGGGGGGGGCUACUGUCGUAGUAGCAGUCGAUACCAGUCCCCUUGUCAGUGCUUUAGUUGAACGUUGUUAUUUCUACGGAACGCCGUUUGACCCACUUUUGUUUUAGUUAACUCUUUUUCGAUGGUUGUCCGUUUAUUUUGCAAAUGAAUAGAUAACUGGCAUAGCCAUCUAGCAGUCAAAAUCGUCACUUGAAGGAGGGAUUUGAAUAGAUGACGCCUUUUAGGGAGGCCUAACUAUUGUUGAUCGAUUGUUAGGUCGAUUUCGAUCGCCAUUGUACAGUUAAUGGCGCCGCGCAUUGGAAGUAUAUGCAUGUGUGAAUUUCGAUGAGCGUUGCACACCUUGGAGGCGUUGGUUAUCGUAUUGAUAAUAAAGGUAUGUAUGGCAAUUAGCUAUGGAAUAAUUUCUCACUUUGUUCUUAGACUCGCCAGUUGAAGAUACGUGUGCACAGUGUUAGUGCUUGGGUGCCUCGAGAGGAAAUUGCAGAACAUAGCCAUACAGUAUGGUGUGCUUCAACAAUGUCCAACCAUGGAAUGAGUCACAUGUGACCGAGACAAACAAAUGAUGCUUUUGCAUUUUGAAUGUUUAAAUUUUUAUAAUUGUAGUUCACAUAAACUUCUGGCCUGCGUCACCCAAUAGGGUCCAGCAAUUGCAUGGUCCACUUUGACUGUGUAGCGCAACCUACUUCCUUCCUAACUAAAAAUGUUUGGCUAUGUUAUAGCUUCAACAGUGUUGGAACAACUUGUUGUGUGGAGGUGAAGCUUCAAUUUUGGACUUGAUUUGUCAACUGUUGGUUGAGAUAGCAAAAGAGUAUGGAUUAGAUCAACAUUUUAUUCCGCGAGCCACGACCAACGAGCCAAUGACCAACCCAGUGGAAUCCUGGAUACUUAAUCAUGUGUGGUACCAAUCAUGGCUUAAUGGGUAUGGUCACUAUCAGCAGCUUUAAACACAGUGUUCAUCGCAAAAUACACCAAUCCCAGAGAACACUCCAAUGGAAAAUAUUGGGAAUUUCUGCCCUUCCACCCUGAACUUCACAAUGCUGGGUUAGACAGUACGAAAAAUUCUUCUCUCGGAAGUUAAUUACUUUGGACUUGCUUGAGAUGACCCUUGAGGCAAGAAGCUUUUUCUGCUUUGUGUGGACAGGAACACCAGAGGCAUUGAUGUCUGAAACCAACAAGUGUUUUGCAAAGAAAGUAAAAAGAAACAUUGAUGUUGGUUAUCCUCUUAGUGAUGCUGAAGCCUGGUAUCUUAUUGAUCCAUUGGUUCUAUUCGUGGGGAAAAGAAUGUUGUGUGGGAGAAACAGGAUCACAAUUGAACAAAAUAAUCGCAAAGUCGUGGUAAUAAUUCGCGAGAAAUAUGCUAAUAGGGUUUCGCUGUGUUAAUGAGUUCGAAGAGGAUAUUGAUGGAGGUUUGGUGUUAAAAAAGUAUGUGUACAAUGUUGGAAGGGCGACUGAAGAUUUCCGGAUUCUUCUAUUAUCUCACAUGUUAUGGUAUUUAUAAAAAUAUGUUGCAGUGCA